rnacentral:rRNA from 1 species
UACAGAGGUCUCAAGCGUUUGUUCGGAUUCAUUGGGCGUAAAGGGUGCGUAGGCGGCGCGGUAAGUCGGGUGUGAAAUCUCGGAGCUUAACUUCGAAACUGCAUUCGAUACUGCCGUGCUUGAGGACUGGAGAGGAGACUGGAAUUUACGGUGUAGCGGUGAAAUGCGUAGAUAUCGUAAGGAAGACCAGUGGCGGAAGGCGGGUCUCUGGACAGUUCCU